rnacentral:sRNA from 1 species
GCUGGGCAUGGUGGUGCAUGCCUGUAAUCCCAGUUACUUGAAGGUUGAGGCAGGAGGAUCACAAGUUUGAGGCCAACCUGGGUGCCUUAGCAAGACCCUGUCUCAA